AGGUCGGUGGUGCAACAGUUAGCAUACACUCCAGUAAAGAGUGAGAUCUGGGUUCAAAUUCCGGCUGACGCA